CCUACGGGAGGCAGCAGUGGGGAAUCUUGCGCAAUGGGGGCAACCCUGACGCAGCCAUACCGCGUGAGUGAUGAAGGUCUUCGGAUUGUAAAGCUCUUUCGGCGGGGACGACGAUGACGGUACCCGCAAAAGAAGUCACGGCUAACUUCGUGCCAGCAGCCGCGGUAAUACGAAGGUGGCGAAUGUUGCUCGGAUUCACUGGGCGUAAAGCGUCGGUAGGUGGCUUGUUAAGUCAGAGGUGAAAGCCCCGCGCUCAACGUGGGAACUGCCUUUGAAACUGGCGAGCUAGAGAGUAUGAGAGGAUGGCGGAAUAACUGGUGUAGAGGUAAAAUUCAUAGAUAUCAGUUGGAACACCCGAGGCGAAGGCAGCUAUCUGGCAUAUUUCUGACACUGAGCGACGACAGCGUGGGGAGCAAACAGGAUUAGAUACCCUGGUAGUCCACGCCGUAAACGAUGCACACUCACCGUCACGCCUCGCUACAGAGGUUGGUGGUCGUAGUCUACGCGGUAGUGUGCCGCCGNGGGAGUACGGCCGCGAAGGUUAAACGUACUUAANAGUAAGUUAGACGGCGUUGAGACGNGCCGACGGACGACGACGAGGGAGGAGG
rnacentral:rRNA from 1 species